UGGGGAUGGACGACAGCACCCAGAAGAUCAUUGUGGACUUGGACAUUUACUGGCCCAAUAGACUGACCAUCGACCUGGGGGAGAAGAAGCUCUACUGGGCUGACACUAAGCUCGGCUUCAUCCACCGUGCCAACCUGGACGGCUCGUUCCGGCAGAAGGUGGUGAAGGGCAGCCUGACGCACCCCUUCACCCUGACACUCUCCGGGGACACUCUGCACUGGAUGGACUGGCUGACGUGCUCCAUCCAUGCCUGCAACAGGAACACUGCGGGGAAGAGGAACGAGAUCUUGAGCGCCCUCUACUCAGCAUGGAUAUCCAGGUGCUGAGCCAGGAGCAGCAGCCUUUCUAGAGGGGGUUUUUGAGACUAGAAUCACCUCAGCAUCCUCCUGUCCCCAGCUGUGUCCAGCCUGUCUGCAGGGACAUCCUGAGAGGACUAGGCUCUCCCCUCAUCCACCUGCGAGCCAAGGAGGUCCUGCUGCUGGCCCGGUAGACGGACCAAUGGAGGGUCUCGCUGGACACACCGGACUUCACCGACAUCGUGCUGCAGCUGGACGACAUCCAGCAUGCCAUCGCCAUCAACUAUGACCCAAUGGAGGGCCA
rnacentral:lncRNA from 1 species